CCAGUCGGCCGGACAGCCGCUGCCGCAAGCGCCGAAAGGCCGCGGGGGAGGAAAGUCCGGGCUCCAUGGAAACACGGUGCCGGGUAACGCCCGGCGAGGGUGACCUUAGGGAAAGUGCCACAGAAAGCAAACCGCCCCGGCCUGAUUGAAAAAUCUUGACGGGGUAAGGGUGAAAGGGUGGGGUAAGAGCCCACCGCGCAGCUGGCAACAGAGGCGGCACGGUAAACCCCACCGGGAGCAAGACCGAAUAGGGGCAGCGCGGGACCGGAGCGAUCCGGACCCAGGCCAGUUUCCAGGUCAGCUGUCCGGGUUGGUUGCGUGAGGCGUCUGGCAACAGGCGUCCCAGAUGAAUGGCUGUCACGUCCGCGAAAGCGGGCCAUACAGAACCCGGCUUACAGGCCGGCUGGCGUU
rnacentral:RNase_P_RNA from 1 species